AAUGUACUCCCUCCGUCCCAAAAUUCUUGUCUUAAAUUUGUCUAGAUACGGAUGUAUCUAAUACUAAAACAUGACUUGAUACAUCCGUAUUUGGACAAAUCUAAGACAAAUUUUUUGGGACGGAGGGAGUAUUAG
rnacentral:pre_miRNA from 1 species